CGAGGGGUUGCCCCGGCCGCGAGCGGGGCGCAGAGGGGCAGGUUCGCCUACAGGGGUUUAGGGCCAAUCGUUCUCUUGUGUCAGGUGAGGGUUCCUGGAAGCAAAUUGAAGAACUCUGAGUUGGUAUUACUAUGUGAAUGGGAAGAAUGCUUCUGUGUAGGAAGACACGUGGAGGACUUUUGUGAUCACAUUGCAAAAUACUUGGAAGAGUAUAUGUAGCCCCCUGGAAGCAGCAGGUCACUUGUGUCCCAUCUGUCACACAUACUACAUUGCAGAUUUGAAGAUUACUUCUGAGUGUAGCUGAUGUCAAUUACAUGCACUGCAGACCUUUGUAGCUUUGCUGGUGUGCAGCUGCAUGAAGCACUCAGAUGAGGGUUUCCACUUGCUUUUUACUUUUAAUCUGAUUGUCUUAAUCACAGAAGGUUUUGGGUUGGAAGGGAGCUCAAAGCCCACCCAGCCUCAACCCCUGUCGUGGGCAGGGCUGCCCCCCACCAGUUCAGGCUGCCCAGGGCCCCAUCCAACCUGGCCUUGAGCGCCUCCAGGGAUGGGGCACCACAGCUUCUCUGGGCAGCCUGUGCCAGCACCUCACUUCCCUCUGGGGAAAUAAUUUCCCCGACAUCUAACCUAAAUCUCUCCCCUUUUAAACCGUUCACCUUUGUCCUUGCCUUAGAUUUUUUUUUUUUUUUUAAUAAUUGUUCAUAAAAUGGAAAGAGACUGGAAAGGUGAUGUCAUGAGAACUGAGGAUUUUCGUAGUGUUAGGUUCUCAGCAGGUGCAAUUGUCUAACACAGAUUUUGGAAAUUUGUUUUUGAAUGGCACAGUGCUUCCCUUUUAGGUAACUGACCUGGUGCUUAAGAAUUCCAAGUUAAAAGUAGCGUGUGUACAAAUCAUUAUAGAAAAAAUGGAAACUUGAUUGAUUGUGUGGUGUUUGCCUUAUUUGGUUACAGACACAAGUGCUGUUUUAUAUGACUGGUGUUGUAGUCUACAUCUUUCUAAUGGUACUAAGUGUACUUAAAAGGAAAACAAAAAAAAAUCUAAUUCUGCAGAAAAUUAUAGGCAGUCCCUGUGGAUGUAAUGGCAAUAAUAUACUAGGCUUUUAAAUGUAACUAUUUUGGCUCUUGUGUAUCCUGCCCUUUAUUCUUAACACUAUAAUCAAGUGUAAUUACAGGUGUAGACAUUUUAAUUAAAGGUGAAUGAGUUUUAAUUAAAAGUGAAAAAUACAGAAUUGAACCAACAUUAACAACGUUUGUGUGACCAAAUCCCAAGAGUAUCUUAAUAUAUACCUAAGAAAAAUACUAACUUUUACAGCAUUUUCUUGUUGAAUCUAUGAAGUACUGUUCUGUAAUGAGUUCUUUAAGGUACAAAGCGCUCUACUGUUGCUAUGAUUUUGAGACUGUGCCAAAUCUGUUUGCCACUGAGAUUUGCAAGUUUUACCUGCCUCGUAAUCAGUAGAUAGAAACGAUCGGUUUCUCUGCUAAGCUAACCUACGGAUCAUGGGGCUAUUACAAAUAGCAGUACUGGUGUUGGUGAAGAAAUGGUGAAUUUGGGGCAAAAGGACCCAGAGAGCUGAUCACACAUGUGAAUUUCCAGUUACCACACCAAACUGAAAUGCAGAGGGUCUUGGUUACGGGCAUGGCACAGUGAUUUGCGAGCAUGUCUGCUGGGCAGCUGGAGCUGGCAUCAGUUGCCAAGCACCUUGGUGGCGUUUGUUUGCAAUUGGGAGAACUGCGAUUUAACUCUGUUGCAUGUCCAAUUCGUAAUACGGUAUGCACAAGUGCCUUCUCACUGGAAACACACAUCAGAUUCUGAGACUGUAAUGAAAAUCCUUUCCAUUGUCAGCUCUGUGACAGCAGGUGAACAGAAGGAAAUAAUCUGAAUUUCUAGCCCCAAAAUAAUGAAACAACUGCUAGAUAAUGGAUGAGAAUUUUCUGUGUGAACAGAAAAAGAAGAUGAUGCCAUUCAACAUGGUUGUGAAAAAAUCUCCUAGAUCCAGGCAAGUUUUAAGAAUGCCUGUGAUCUGCAUAAACAUGUUGAAACACACAGUGAUUCAGAUGCCUACAGCUGUGAUGUUGAAGGAUGUGGUUUUACUUCAUGGACUUUACGAACUCUGAGACAGCACUACAAGAGAGCACAUGUGGUUUUGUAUAAGAGAUUCAGAUAUUGAAUUAAAGGCUGUCAUAAGCUUGGUCUGCCUUUAGGCAGCCUGUGAAACGUUGUGAAACAAUUCACUUCUUAGAUUUUGCUGUCAUUAUGGAAAUCCUAGUGUAAAGAUGGCUUAAGUCUUCUUGUUUUUAUAGCUUUUACUACUGGGAAAUUCUUGCAAUUCUAUUGUUGAAAGAACAUUUAUUGACCUUUUUGUUCUAUCUAUUGAGGAAAGAAGCUGUGCAUAAAUAUAUCAACAGCUUCUAUAGUACAAACAAGCUGUACUUUCCAUUUUGGCACAAGAAAAUUCAGCAAACAAAAUGUAACUACAAAUAGGUGUCUCUUAUUUUCUGUUCAGUUGUGUAUUUGAUGAGGACUACUGAUUGGAACCCUGCUGCAGUCAGUUCUCUUUACAUUGAGUAUUUUUGGUUUCAAUACAGUAUAAUAAAUAGCAGUCUGAUUCAUCUUUUAAUUGCUGACAUUUUCAAUUUUGGCAAUCUAAUGAGAGGUUAUUCUUAUUUUCCUUCAUAAAUACUAUGUCUGUAACUUGUAUUUUCAGAAUAUUCUAUUCUCUGUUCCCUUAGAUAUAACAAAGAUGGUGAGGGUCACAUGAGUUUAAAUUUAGCAGUACAUAAUGCAGUCCCAGGUUUAGGUCAGGCUUCUGAUAACAAGUAAGUCCUCGGUUAAAGAUGUUCAUAGAGUUGAACCUAGGAUUUAUGUACCAUUUGCUGUAACUGAAAUUUUGUAGUUACUGGUUGGCUGCUGCGGGUACAAUACGAGAAAGCAACUUAAUGAUACUGGCAGUGUAGCUAAAAGUGCCUAACUGUAUUUCCAUCAAUCAUUCCACAUAGCCACUGUUGUUCUGAACUGCCAGGAAAAGCACUUGGCAAAUUAUUCAUUUGAUUAUUGUAUAAAAGGCAUAGACAAAAAGACAGCUCUCUUUCGUCAAAGUAAAAUUGAAAUGCGGUGUUCAAAACCUUUUUUACAAGAAAUGAAUGAGCUCUCCAAGUUACAACUGUAAGACAUGUACACAUGAGGAAGUAGCAUUCAGUCACCUGCAAGUGUAUUAGUUACUACAAGCCAGCGUCCCUUGAAGAGCCAGAGGUAAUUUCUGGGAGUGGAUUGCUCUGCUGCCUGGAAACAGGAACUUUCAUGGCAAGACCCUUCAAAACAUGGUGGAUGGUGGUGUGAUUACCAUGGCUUACUGAAUGCUCGUUUCCUUACCUGAACAAACCUGCACCUGGGUGAGAUCCCAGCCAACAAGAACAGAGUAUCAAACAGACUGGAAAUAGUUUGAAAGAACAAAAAUCAAGAAGUGAGUUUGCCAUGUAACUACAAAGCAGCCAAGGAUUCUGGGACAGUUUUAUCUGGGAGGAUUUGCACCGUGCAUCUUCCAUAGAAAACUCUCUCUGCUGAACUGACCCCUAACUGCCCUCACCUGUUGCAUGUGAGGACUAUGAGGACAGGCUAGGCCCGUGUGCUGGGCUGGAGGAAGGGACGAUGACUCCUUCCAUCUCAACCACACAGCUGGAAGAGCACAGGCUCCCACGUAGGCUGGUCGGAGGGGGUGAGGUGGUGGUGUCAGAAUAGGACUUGUUACACUCGUACACGAACUGUUCCUUCUACUUCCUCAUGCUCUGAGGGAGCUGGGUGCAGUUCCUGCUGCACUCGCUGUCCCAAAGUGUGGAGGGAGAGCCAGCAGAAGGCUCUAUGCCAUUGGUGACAUUCCCACUAUGAAUGGGAGAGGGGCUGCCUGUAGGAGAGAGCCUGAAGUCAUGUCUCUGACAGCGUGUGCCCGUGUUCAGAGAGCAGUGCUCAUUGCUGCUUCAGUCUAACAACCUAGAGCAAGCUGUCUGCAACGUUAGGCCAUCUCGGCAAGAGAACGAAAAGCAAUGUAAGGUCCCUGUCACCAAUACAGGCAGAUUGAAAAUGGUGGCAGUAAAAAUUUCCUCCCACAGCCAUCUACCUUGUUACCACCUGGAAAGAUUCUGCUCUGCAAGCAGCUGAGAUCUUCGUGCUCGCCUUUUAGUAUUAUUAAAUAUGCCUGGCUGUAAUUUGUGGCAAUUCAGCUGAUGCUUCAAGAGCAGUUGAGCCAUUUUUGCGGAGGGGGCAGGCCAGACAGAUGUGGGUGGUAACCUGAUUUUAAUCUGCCUUUGUGCAUGAAUCAGAGACCCAACAUUUUUAAUUCUCUACAAUACAGGUAAAACUGACUCACUUGUCUCUGGGCAAUGAAUAGGCACCACUGUAGCCUCUGGGAUUUCCCCUGCUAAAUAUCAAAGGUCUGCAACAAACAACAGAGGUGUUAAUGCUUCCCAAAGAAAGAGCCCUUUAUAAUGGAAAGUAUUAGUCAACCAAAAUGCAGAUCUUUUAUAAUAGUUUACCAAAAGCCUCUAAUCCUUUAUCCAACAAUUCGCUCCUUUGGGCAGUUGCCUAUGCCUGCCUGAUUUGGAGUUUGCUGCGUUGCAGGUAUCAGGGCUAAUUUACACAAAGCCCAUUCAGGACCAGGGCUUUCCCAUGACAGGUUUAAACACGCAUGCUUUUGAGCUGUGGAACCACACUUGAAGGGCAGGACAUAGGUGAGCCUAUCAAACGUAUUUUGGAAGACAAAAUCAACGGUGGGGUCAGACACAGAAGGGUGAUCAUUUAUUAAUGGGAACUUAUUUUGAAAAUCAUCUCUUAAAGCAAUUGUUCUCGCGCUGCUUAGUGGCACAGUAGAGCCUUAUCCUACUGCUGCUUAGGUACCUGUUCCACUUCAUUAUUACUCAGCGUUCGCACUCACACAAGGGCCUUGGGAAGCUAAAAAGUGAAACCUUCUCUGUCAUCUAAUGUAGAGUUCUGAAGUUACUCUCAUCCGCACGAGUGCUGUUUCCAGCAGAGCCCAUAGAGGGUGCCCGCGGGCUGGGUGCUCCGAACCGCCCCGCAGGUGGCAUGGGCUGCGAGUUGGGCAGAGCUCUGCCUUGAAUGCGUAUUAAUUCCGUGCUUCCCAGUAGAUAGCUCUGUGAGAAGCAAGGAAUUUGCGGGACCCAGCUUGAAAAGCAACUCCUUCCCGUGCACAUCAGGCCAUGAGGUGGACAUGAGUCAUGUGGGACUCGUUCUCGUGGAGCCAGAACAUCAGAUAAGGCAAAUUGGCACGGGUCUGCCGGAAUCCGGAGAGCAGCGCAACGCGUCGCUGCGGGUCUGGCACGGGACCAUUGUGGAUAUCAGUGGGAGCAGACUGGCUCUAGCUUUGCAGAGGGAGAAGGAGCCAGCUUGCCUGGCUGACAAAGAAACCCUUUGAUGAUGACCUAGGAGAUGGUGCCCUGCAGCGCAGCUAGCAGUGGGGAAAAAUGUACCUGGAAAAUGGUGGUGUCUGCCAAGAGGCAGAGCAAGACUCAGCUUGAGGAAGUCAUGCAGAACACCUUUUUUGUUCUCCAAGGUUUCAGAAUGAAGAUGUAAAACGAGGUAUUCUUAACACCACAGAAAUAACUCUAUUAUUCAUUGCUUGCGCUAAUGGGAUCUUUUUUUUUUUAAUAAUUUGCAUUGUGUUCUGUCACUUUUACAAGCCCUCUGCUGCUAUAAACAGACUUGCUAAUGAGAUAUACAUACAAUUGAUGUCGUUUAAUCCUUCACAUUUAAGUGCCUGAAUUCAGGGCUUUGUCUUAUCCUUACCAAGGAACAAUGUUAACAAAAAUAGUUUAACAGUUCCUAAGAAAGCAGUUAUGAGAAGCGUAGUAUUCUUCCUUGCAAAAAAUCCUCCAAUUUGGAUCAUUCACCAUUUUGCACUUGCUUUAAAGUGUAACAUUUCGAAGAGGAGUAUUUGCCCCAGUCUGUUUUUUUGGCAUGUACUUUCAUAUUACUAGGACAUGUCAACAGCACUUUGCAAAGCUUCCCUAAAGCCCUGAAACCAUAAUAUUCUUACUAGAUCACAUGAAAUACAGCGUGCGUUCUGUUACGGUCUGCCACUGUUCUUGAAGUGAGCAGUUGCGCUGUAUGAGAUCAGCAAGGAAUUCCAUAUGCUGAGUUCACCACUGCAUCUGCUGCCAUGUGUAACCGUGCCCCUUUCACCACCUUCUUCAGAGGCGAUUUCCUUCCUACUCACCCCCCCGUCUGUUGACAUCAGUGAGCUUGUGGUAAGUCAGGCCAGCUUAAAGUCUAUCUGCACACUAAGCAAGGGAGUGGUGGUUUGGCUUUCUGUUGUGUUGUUGUUUUUUUUUUCUUUUUUAAGUGAUAUCCUUAAGCUGAUUCAGUUACUCUUCAACCAUGAGAGCACCAGUGCCAAUACAAAAGAGGGGAUGGCAAACUUCCUUCAGCAAGAUGCCAUUUCAGAUUGGUUUAAGCCAACUACAGCUCUGCACUGCUUUCAUAUAAAAACGUUACGCCACAGCUUAGAGGUUUGCAGCCUGGAUGAAGGGAUGGAUUUUUUAUUUUAUCUUUUGGAAAGUUACAAAUCAGUGUUCCUUUGUAUCAGCUUUAAAGCUGUUACAUAGUUGAAAUCUGCUAUCCCUUCAUGGACAACAGGAGAAAAACUUCUUGUCUCUAACGGGGGAAAAGACGCCCCACAACCUACUGAAGCUUUGGCCUGGUUUACUGCGUAUACGUCAAGCAAAGCUUUAGAAGGAUAUCCUCACAAAAUGAAAAGGCUUAAGCCCCGUUCUCUGAUAGGAUCAAGGAACGCUGCAAGGCUGUGAAACAAAGUAGGAAGAGGGUUUUCUUCAUGAUGCCUGUGCUAAUGCACAGGAGAGGAAGACACAGACAGGGCUGGUUACCUUGCCAUGAAAAAAUCCAUUAGGCUGGUGUCACAUGAUUUGUUCUCAAUAAACCCAGUACUGACUGCUCUUAUGUCACCUCGGCUAUCUGCUAGCAUAAUUUAUCUGUUUAUUUUUAAUUGGGGAACAGACAGCUCUGGAAUUCCCUUGCCAUCUUCUUCUUCCUCUUAAAGAAAAGCUCUUCUGGUGCCCUUUUCCAGCCUCCCUACACUUCACAAACCAAAACCUCCGAGGCUGAGCAGCCAUUCUCUAGGCAACAUAAAUGUUAAUUUUAUUCAGGCCUGACCUUCAUGAAAGCACUUGAGCAAUAUGAAUUCUCUUAGAACAGCUCUUUUCAUGGUUGCUCGUGAGCUCUCCUUCACUGCUGCUGUGUGCUGAAUUAGUUCCACAGUCACUGUGCAGACAGAAGGUGUACAAUCAAUUUCUUGCUUAAAAUCAACUGCAAGCUAAUUGCAAGUUGGGUUUUGUCUAGUUUAUUUUAUUUGACAGUUUUUGCCAUCUCACCAAUGAAAUGGGUGUUUGAAUUGUAAUGUAUCAUUUAGUGGAAUGAAAUAUUUGGUGCAUUGCUGGGAACUAAGUCAUGGUAACUGCUUCAGUUUAAGCAGAGCUCCCUGGGAGCACAGACAUCUCUCCACACGGAUCCAGCUGUAGCUGAACCCAAAUCAAAAGAAAGAGGAAGUUAGGAUGGCAGGCAGGAGGAAGAGGAGGCCAGACAGAGGGACUAAGGACUUGUCUCUACACAGUUAUUUCUUGAUUGUGAUUUAUGUACAUAUAGAUGCUCUCAUUUAGAGUAAGCGAGUGUUUAGUUUAAUCCAGAGUAAAUUAAACAGGAAGUAGUUCAUGUGGAAUAAAGCCCUGAGAACAGACUUGAUGUCUCUUGACUUGAAAAUAAUUAAACGUUUCUACAAAUUCUUUCUAAAUGGAGCUUUGCAAAGACAACAGAGUGACUACUGCUAUUAUCCCAGCUUUAAAACAUAUUGUCCUCCAUCUGUUGCCUAACUUGCCAGAUUAAACAAUCACACGCUGACUGCCUAGAACAAUAAAGUUGAGUCUGAUAUUCACCAUAACAAACAAUCACAAGCUUUAUUAACCUUUAGACAUGUGAUAGGCGUGAAGGUCACGAUGCAGAUAGCAAUAGCCUCUUUACGAUUAUGCUGCUUACCAAAGGUUGCAGACUCCUUCCUCACAGCUGCAGUAUCUCAGCAACAGAUUAAGAGUGAUUAUGCCUCGGUCCAAGUCAUGGAGUACCUGGGCUGCAUCCAAAGAAGCAUGGCCAGCAGGGCAAGGGAGGUGAUCCUGCCCCUCUGC